GACGUAGGUGGCGAACGUUAUCCGGAAUUAUUGGGCGUAAAGGGUGCGUAGGUGGUGUAGUAAGUUAUCGGUGGUAAAUCGAGGCUCAACCUCGUGGAAGUCGGUAAUACUGCUAUGCUAGAGGAUAGGAGAGGUUAACGGAACUCCCUGUGGAGCGGUGAAAUGCGUAGAUAUAGGGAAGAACACCAAUAAGGCGAAGGCAGUUAACUAUUCUAUUCCUGACAUUGAGGCAUGAAAGCGUGGGGAGCAAAACGG
rnacentral:rRNA from 1 species